rnacentral:rRNA from 1 species
AUUGAACGCUGGCGGCAGGCUUAACACAUGCAAGUCGAACGAUGAAGAUAUAGCUUGCUAUAUCGGAUUAGUGGCGGACGGGUGAGUAACACUUAGGAAUCUACCUUUUAGCGGGGGAUAGCUCGGGGAAACUCGAAUUAAUACCGCAUAAUUUCUACGGAAUAAAGAGGGCUUUUAGCUCUCACUAGAAGAUGAGCCUAAGUAAGAUUAGCUAGUUGGUGGGGUAAAAGCCUACCAAGGCGACGAUCUUUUGCUGGUCUGAGAGGAUGAUCAGCCACACUGGGACUGAGACACGGCCCAGACUCCUACGGGAGGCAGCAGUGGGGAAUAUUGGACAAUGGGGGCAACCCUGAUCCAGCCAUGCCGCGUGUGUGAAGAAGGCCUUUUGGUUGUAAAGCACUUUAAGCAGUGAAGAAGACCUAUUGGUUAACACCCAAUAGCGAUGACAUUAACUGCAGAAUAAGCACCGGCUAACUCUGUGCCAGCAGCCGCGGUAAUACAGAGGGUGCAAGCGUUAAUCGGAAUUACUGGGCGUAAAGCGAGCGUAGGUGGUUAAAUAAGUCAGAUGUGAAAGCCCUGGGCUCAACCUAGGAACGGCAUCUGAAACUAUUUAACUAGAGUAGGUGAGAGGGAAGUAGAAUUUCAGGUGUAGCGGUGAAAUGCGUAGAGAUCUGAAGGAAUACCGAUGGCGAAGGCAGCUUCCUGGCAUCAUACUGACACUGAGGCUCGAAAGCGUGGGUAGCAAACAGG